rnacentral:rRNA from 1 species
UACGGGAAGGCAGCAGUGGGGAAUAUUGCACAAUGGGCGAAAGCCUGAUGCAGCUAUGCCGCGUGUAUGAAGAAGGCCUUAGGGUUGUAAAGUACUUUCAUCGGGGAGGAAAAAACAAAACUAAUAAUUUUAUUUCUUGACGUUACCCGAAAAAGAAGCACCGGCUAACUCCGUGCCAGCAGCCGCGGUAAUACGGAGGGUGCUAGCGUUAAUCAGAAUUACUGGGCGUAAAGAGCACGUAGGUGGUUUUUUUAAGUCAGAUGUGAAAUCCCUGGGCUUAACCUAGGAACUGCAUUUUGAAACUGAAAUACUAGAGUAUCGUAGAGGGAGGUAGAAUUCUAGGUGUAGCGGUGAAAUGCGUAGAUAUCUGGAGGAAUACCUGUGCGAAAGCGGCCUCCUAAACGAAUACUGACACUGAGGUGCGAAAGCGUGGGGAGCAAACAGGGAUUAGAUACC